CCUACGGGAGGCACCAGUGGGGAAUGUUGGACAAUGGGCGAAAGCCUGAUCCAGCAAUGCCGCGUGUGUGAAGAAGGUCUUCGGAUUGUAAAGCACUUUCGACGGGGACGAUGAUGACGGUACCCGUAGAAGAAGCCCCGGCUAACUUCGUGCCAGCAGCCGCAGUAAUACAGAGGAUGCAAGCGUUAUCCGGAAUGAUCGGGCGUAAAGCGUCUGUAGGUGGCUUUUUAAGUCCGCCGUCAAAUCCCAGGGCUCAGCCCUGGACAGGCGGUGGAAACUACCAAGCUGGAGUACGGUAGGGGCAGAGGGAAUUUCCGGUGGAGCGGUGAAAUGCGUAGAGAUCGGAAAGAACACCAACGGCGAGAGCACGCUGUUGGGCCGACACUGACACUGAGAGACGAAAGCUAGGGGAGCGAAUGGGAUUAGAUACCCUUGUAGUC
rnacentral:rRNA from 1 species